rnacentral:rRNA from 1 species
AAUGAACGUUGGCGGCGUGGAUUAGGCAUGCAAGUCGCGCGAGAAGUCAUUUAGCUUGCUAAAAGACGGACAGCGGCGGAAGGGAGAGUAACGCGUGGUUAUGUACCCUCGAGACCGGGAUAGUGUCGGGAAACUGGCAGUAAUACCGGAUAACAUCUUCGGAUCAAAUGGUGUGAUUCCGCUCGAGGAGCAGACCGCGUACUAUUAGCUAGUUGGAGGGGUAAUAGCCCACCAAGGCUUAGAUGGUUACCGGGUGUGAGAGCAUGGCCCGGCUCACUGGGACUGAGACACUGCCCAGGCAUCUACGGAUGGCUGCAGUCGAGAAUCUUCGGCAAUGGACGAAAGUCUGACCGAGCGACGCCGCGUGCGGGAUGAAGGCCUUCGGGUUGUAAACCGCUGUCAGUUAGGAGGAAAUCCAUGAGGGUUCUCUCUCAUGGUUGACCGAUUUUCAGAGGAAGGACGGGCUAAGUUCGUGCCAGCAGCCGCGGUAAUAC